GUAUACAACACCUACCUUUGUGUGCAGCAGUGCAGUUACAUGAGAGACAGACACACAAAUUCCUACCUUUCUGUACAUCCUUGAAGUUACAAGCUACAAAAUACAAUUCAAUAGAUCUAUCCUGGGUGCCUUCAUCUUUUCAAAUACUGAAGAGAAGCAGUGGCUAUAUUUCUGGAAUUGUGAACUUAGAAGAAGAACCGGGGACCCUGCUGAAAAACCACAAAAGAGCCACACUCGCUUCUUUCAACACGUGCCCAAGGAUGUGAAUCUGAUCCUCUCCAAAAUGUGCCGAAAUGUAUGUUGGGUGGAACAUACAUCUGUCAGCACACUGGUAAAGUCUGCAGUGGAUUGUGUUACAAAAACAUCAUGACAAGAAAAAGACAGAAUGCCUGUGUGUAACCACAUGAAUGUCUCUUAUGCUACUGCAGCAUUUCAAACACCUAUCUAGACAUCAUCUAGAUGACAAAGUGGCUACAAAUGGCAAUAAAUUGCAAUAAACUGUUA